GACGAACGCUGGCGGCAUGCUUACCACAUGCAAGUCGAACGAAGUGGCGAACGGGUGAGUAACGCGUAAUCAACCUGCCCUUCAGAGGGGGACAACAGUUGGAAACGUCUACUAAUACCGCAUACUGAAGGACGGGAUUGCGUCUGAUUAGCUAGUUGGCGGGGUAACGGCGCACCAAGGCGAUGAUCAGUCGAACGACUGAGAGGGUGAUCGGCCGCAUUGAUGCUGAGACACGGCCCAGACUACUACGAAAGGCAGCAAUGGGGAAUCUGCCGGAAGGGACGAAAGUCUGACGGCGCAACGCCGCGUGAGUGAUGACGGCCUUCGAGUUGUAAAGCUCUGUUAAUCGGGACGCGGUACCGGAAUAGAAAGCCACGGCUAACUACGUGCCAGCAGCCGCGGUAAUUC
rnacentral:rRNA from 1 species